GAAGACCGAGCAUCAUUAAGUCGGCAUGCAUAGACUAACUUAAUCAACACAUAAUUAGCACGCAGUAAUUUUAUUUAUUAAUUUUUCUUUGAGGAAAACAUAGUACUACAUAAAAGUAGACAAAGAAAAUCUCUUGCAUAUAUCAAGAGAUCUUAACAAUACUCACAUAAUUGACAAGUAAUAACAGUACCCAUCUUUUUAUUCAAUUGAAAAUAACAAAAAACAAUAAUGUCGUUUGCACUUAACCACUGUAAUCAGGGUUUCUCCCGUAUUGAGGGACAUUAAGAAGAUCAAGAUCAUUCACAACGUCGUCGUCACCGGCACUAAAAAGAAUUCCGAAACCCUCCGACCAAUUGCUCUUACCUGAAAGUUUCAUAUUAGAAAAUAAAUAUUCAUAAAUGCAUAUAUUAAAAUAAGAACUAUAAAUGAUAUCCAACUGAAAUCAGCCUAUAAACCUGCACAAGCCGUUUCCAUAUUCUUCAAAAUUAGAAAGAUCUCUGCUUUCGGGAUCAAACACAAAAAGUAAUCAACAGUUGCUUUUGCGAGUUCUUGCUUCUGAUUUAAUUAAAUAUACAUGCAUGCAUAUAUAUAGGGAGAAUAAAGUAACCAUUGCGGAUUACACCGAGACUAAUCAAAAUAUUAUUUUUGACUAUUCUUUCAAAGUCGCAUUCAUCCUCUCUACUUGGCCAUCUGUUCUGUGGAUGAUUUUCAUGCUGACGACAGUGCCAACGUGGUUGAUUAAUUACUAGCUAUUAGCAAUUAUAUUAUCUUUUCUUUCAAAAUAUAAAUUUAAUUUGGAAAACGUGGCCAGAACGUGGAUGAGUUUCAAAGAAAAAUGGUGCCGCCGGUGCUGAUUCUGAAGAAAGAGACGUGCCGCAUUCUUUGAAUUAUGAAGCCAAAAUUGCUGAAUUUGACAAAAGCCAAUAUCUGGAAAGGAGGCUCCAUUUGAGAGCAAUUGCAUCCCGAUUCUUUGUAUUCGACAGAAAAAGACAAAAGAAAGAAGAAAAAAUUGUGAGUUUGUGAAGUGGAAAAAAUCAAAUUUUCAUGUAUAACUGGUAUUUUCAAGUGUACUUUCUUAGCCAUCGAUGAGGACAGCAACUGAUCCCACCUCUUCCAAGCAGUAAAAGGUGGAUUCUCUUGUGACUCAUCAGAGGGAUUUUCAGCUUCUUGAAUAAGAAAUCGAUGCGGACAGAUUUAGUUUCUAUUAAGAAGACCUUCAAGUCCAUUAGCACAAACUGAAGAAAGGGAUCUGAGAUUUCCAGAGCGUAUAGUUAGAUCUGUCGAAUUUGAUUGGAUUUUUUAAUUAUAAAAGAUGAAGUAGAUUGAUUUGUGUUUGAAUUCGUGUUUGAGGAAGCCAUAGCAGAGUAGAUUGAGCUCUGAUACCAAGUUAAGAACCGAUAUUAUGGUGUUUGGACGCAGAGAAAAUGUGAGAGUCAGAGAGAAAAUGUAAGCCAGAGUUGAGAGAAAAUGAAGAAUGGAGAUGUAACAAAUUCUAGAAUAUUAUACUCGCUGACUCAGCCUACACAUUACCGUCUCUAACAAACUUAACAAACUCACACGUGUAACCAGCUCACUAAUUAUCUUAACAAUCUAAAUUAGAAAAUGUAAAGAAAAAAUAAUUAUUGAUUCAAUCAAAUUUAAAAGUUAAAUUUAUACAAAAUCUUAACGAUUAAAUUUAUGCAAAAUUCUAAUGACGUAAAAAGAACAAAUCGAGAGUUUUGAAAUCGACAAAUUAAACGUAAUUUUGGAGUUGACGGGCAUAAUCAGAGAAAAUAAGGGUUAAAUAAAUCUAGUUGAAUUGGCCGAAUGAAUGCUUCGAAUAUUUGCAAAUGCUCCUUUUCUUCUAGCAGAGUUUUGUUUGGAUCUGUCUUCGUUGGCCCAAGUUUAAGCAGAUUUUGUUUGUAUAGACUAUAGAAAAAUGAAAAACCAUCGUCUUUGGGUAUUAUAUUUGACACCGUUAGUAUUUCAUUUUAAACUUACCUUUCUUCAUCACUUGAUAUUGUUUAAGACACUGAAUUAGGAUUCAAGAGAAGAUAAUUAUAUGUUGAAUGGGUGUGCAAGAUAAUUAUAAAAUGAAAAUUUUUUGUACUCAUUUCUUUAAUACUACUAAUAAGGUUUGGGCUAUACGAAAAAAAAAAAAGAAUUUUAAGGGAAGUUAAUUAUGUGUUGAAUGGUUGUGCACGAUAAUUAUAAGAUGAUUUUUUUUUUUUUUUGUAUAACUAUAUGUUGAAUGCGCGUGCAAGAUAAUACAUGAUGAAAAAAUUGUCUUCAUUUCUUUAAAACUACUAAUAAGGUUUUGGGGUUAGGAAAUUUGUCGCACUGAAGAUUAAAAAAAAAGAUUUUGUCUUUUUUAAUUUAAUUAUUAGCAUCCUCUUAGUUGUAUAUAGUUUGUAGAAAAGUGUUUUAAUACUUGUAACAGAAAGAAAAUUGAAGUUAUCCAACCUUCGAAUAUUUCUUAUUCUAGGUAAAUUUCUAGUUAUUCUUCGUGAAAUGACAAUUUCAAAAUAUCCCAAAUUAUAGUAGAUUUCAACUCACUUUUUUUUUCCCAAAAAGAUAAGGAAAAAUGGAGCUGGAUUGAUGAAUUUUUUUUUUUUUUUUUUACAGAAAUGGGGGUAAGUUGAAAUUUACAAUAAUUUAAAAAUAUUUUGAAUUUGUCAUUUCACAAAAGGGAUAAUCUGAAAUUAAUCGUGAUAUUAACAAAUAAUGGUCAGAUGAUAGAGACCAUAUAUACUGACGAGAGGUUUUUAACUCUACAUUUAUUCAAAGACCAAAAUUCUAUAACUUUCGUUUCUUUUUAACAAAAUAAUUAACAAAUUAUUAGUGAUUAUGGCUGAAAGUCAAGUUGAUAAACCCACAAAACAACAUGGCUACUUUGACUAUUUUAAAAGCUGAAAUUAUAAAUUUACUCCGUAUAUUUAAAAAAUUAGGAUGAAGGAUCAGUUUCUAGUGCAAGAAUUAGCUAACCACUAUGCGGAGUUUGUUUAAAAAAAAGAACCAAGAAGAUCCAUCAUCAUUAAGUCAGCAAGCAUGGACUAAAUUAAUCAACACAUAAUUAGCACACCAUAAUUUUAUUUAUUAAUUUUCUUUUCAGUAAAACACAGAACUACAUGAAAGUAAAGAAAGAAAAGCUCUCGCAUGUAUCAAGAGAUCUUAACCAUGCUCACACAAUUGAUACAUAAUAAUAGUACCGUCUUGUUAUUCAAUUGAAUAUAACACAAAACAGCAAAGUUGCUUGCACUUAACCACUGUAAUCAGGGUUUCUUCCAUAUUGAGGGACAUUAAGAAGAUCAAGAUCAUUCACGAUGUCAUCAUCACCGGCACUAAAAAGAAUUCCGAAACCCUCCGACCAAUUGCUCUUACCUGAAAGUUUCAUAUUAGAAAAUAAAUAUUCAUAAAUGCAUAUAUUAAAAUAAGAGCUAUAAAUGAUAUCCAACUGAAAUUAGCCUAUAAACCUGCACAAGUAGUUUCCAUGAUCUUCAAAAUCAGAAAGAUCUCUGUUUCCGGAAUCAAAACUCAAAGAGUAAUCAAUAGUUGCUUUUGCGAGUUCUUGC
rnacentral:lncRNA from 1 species